UAGGGAAUCUUCCACAAUGGGCGCAAGCCUGAUGGAGCAACGCCGCGUGAGUGAAGAAGGUCUUCGGAUCGUAAAACUCUGUUGUUAGAGAAGAACAUGCAGGAGAGUAACUGUUCAUACGUUGACGGUAUUUAACCAGAAAGUCACGGCUAACUACGUGCCAG
rnacentral:rRNA from 1 species